UACGUAGGGUGCUAGCGUUGUUCGGAGUCAUUGGGCGUAAAGCGCGUGUAGGCGGUUAGUUAAGUCAGAUGUGAAAUCCCUGGGCUCAACCUAGGAAGUGCAUUUGAAACUAAUUAGCUAGAGAGUGGUAGAGGAAGGUGGAAUUCCGUGUGUAGAGGUGAAAUUCGUAGAUAUACGGAGGAAUACCGGUGGCGAAGGCGGCCUUCUGGACCAUUUCUGACGCUGAGACGCGAAAGCGUGGGGAGCAAACAGG
rnacentral:rRNA from 1 species